rnacentral:rRNA from 1 species
AGAACGAACGCUGGCGGCAGGCUUAACACAUGCAAGUCGAGCGCCCAGCAAUGGGAGCGGCGGACGGGUGAGUAACACGUGGGAACAUGCCUUUCGGUACGGAACAACUUCGGGAAACUGAAGCUAAUGCCGUAUACGCCCUUACGGGGAAAGAUUUAUCGCCGAAAGAUUGGCCCGCGUCUGAUUAGCUAGUUGGUGAGGUAACGGCUCACCAAGGCUUCGAUCAGUAGCUGGUUUGAGAGAACGACCAGCCACACUGGGACUGAGACACGGCCCAGACUCCUACGGGAGGCAGCAGUGGGGGAAUCUUGGACAAUGGAGGAAACUCUGAUCCAGCCAUGCCGCGUGAGUGAUGAAGGCCUUCGGGUUGUAAAACUCCUUUACCCGGGAAGAUAAUGACUGUACCGGGAGAAUAAGCUCCGGCUAACUUCGCGCCAGCAGCCGC